UACAGAGGGUGCAAGCGUUAAUCGGAAUUACUGGGCGUAAAGCGUGCGUAGACGGUUAUGUAAGUCGGGUGUGAAAGCCCCGGGCUCAACCUGGGAAUGCCAUUCGAGACUGCAUAGCUAGGGUGCGGAAGAGGGAAGCGGAAUUUCCGGUGUAGCGGUGAAAUGCGCAGAUAUCAGGAGGAACACCGGUGGCGAAGGCGGGUCUCUGGGCCGAUAUUGACGCUGAGGAGCGAAAGCGUGGGGAGCAAACAGG
rnacentral:rRNA from 1 species